GGAAUCUUCGGCAAUGGACGAAAGUCUGACCGAGCAACGCCGCGUGAGUGAAGAAGGUUUUCGGAUCGUAAAACUCUGUUGUUAGAGAAGAACAAGGGUGAGAGUAACUGUUCACCCCUUGACGGUAUCUAACCAGAAAGCCACGGCUAACUACGUGCUAG
rnacentral:rRNA from 1 species